rnacentral:rRNA from 1 species
UUUAAAUUAAAAUUGCUUUUAUUAGUAUUAUUGAGAAUUAAGAAAUUACAGCGAUGGAAUUUAUGAAAAUUAAAAGUUUGGUUGAUCUUACCUUUUGUAUAAUGGUUGAACUAGAAUAUUUAUUGUUUAAUUUUUCCCGAAAUGAGAAGAGCUAUUUAGUGGCUUGUAUUAGAAUAUCAGGGUCAUGUGGAAGUAUGGCUUGAAGACUAUUAAAUAGGGGUGAAAUGCCUUCAAUUCUUGUGAUAUCUGGAAGUUAUAGAAAAGCAUUUAGUGCUGUAAAGUGAGACAUAAGGUGGUUAGAUCUUGUGUUGAUAGGAUAAGAAGUAAUUUUGUUGGUCUUUAGGGUUAAACUUCUUAAGACAAGAUUAAUUAAGAAUUUCUUUUUCUUUUAUCUAGUAAUUAUAUAACUUUUUUAAUUAAUAAACUAUAAAAAUGAAAAUGUUUAAAUUAGUAGUAAUUUUUAAGUAAGGUUAGUUUUUAUUGAAACCUAAAUUUUAUUUAAAUUAUAAUCGUUUUUAAGGAACUCGGCAAAUCGGAGCUCGGGCUGUUUACCAAAAACAUAGCCAUAAGCAUAUAUUUAUGGUUUAACCUGCCCAAUGUUUUAAUUAAUCAAUGGCCGCGGUACCCUGACCGUGCUAAGGUAGCGUAAUCAGUUGGCUUUUAAAUGGAGUCAGGAAUGAAUGGGAAAACCGUGCUCAGCUGUCUCAGAAGCGUUUUAUCGAAUUUACUGUUCAAGUGAAAAAGCUUGAGUUUGGAAAGGGGACGAGAAGACCCUUAGAAUUUUUUUUAAGGUGGAAUGUUUUCUGCUGUAAUUUUGUUGGGGCGACAAUGAAAGAUAUUUAAACUUUCAAUUUUUUACCUGCCGAUUAUGUUAAGCAAGAAUAAAUUACCUGAGGGAUAACAGCAUAAUUCUACAGUUGAGUUUGUGACCUCGAUGUUGGACUAGGGAACUAUCAGGCUAGCCGUUUGAUGUGUGGGUUCUGUUCGAACUAUAAUCCCU